rnacentral:rRNA from 1 species
AGAUUGAACGCUGGCGGCGUGCCUAACACAUGCAAGUCGAGCGGUAACAGGCGUAGCAAUACGUGCUGACGAGCGGCGGACGGGUGAGUAAUGCUUGGGAAGUCUUCCCGGUAGUGGGGGAACAACCGAACCGAAAGGUUGGCUAAUACCGCAUACGUUCUACGGAAGAAAGCGGGGGACCGUAAGGCCUCGCGCUAUCGGAUGAG